AACUUAGCUCAGCUGGUAGAGCAUUCGCCUUGUAAGCGAACGGUCGUCGGUUCAAAUCCGAUAGUU
rnacentral:tRNA from 1 species